rnacentral:rRNA from 1 species
CUACGGGCGGCUGCAGUGGGGAAUAUUGCACAAUGGAGGAAACUCUGAUGCAGCAACGCCGCAUGGAGGAUGACACUUUUCGGAGCGUAAACUCCUUUUAUAUAGGAAGAAGAUGACGGUACUAUAUGAAUAAGCGCCGGCUAACUCCGUGCCAGCAGCCGCGGUAAUACGGAGGGCGCAAGCGUUACUCGGAAUCACUGGGCGUAAAGAGCGUGUAGGCGGAUUAAAAAGUCAGAAGUGAAAUCCUAUAGCUUAACUAUAGAACUGCUUCUGAAACUCUUAAUCUAGAAUAUGGGAGAGGUAGAUGGAAUUUCUGGUGUAGGGGUAAGAUCCGUAGAGAUCAGAAGGAAUACCGAUUGCGAAGGCGAUCUACUAGAACAUUAUUGACGCUGGGACGCGAAAGCGUGGGGAGCAAACAGGAUUAGAUACCCUUGUAGUC